UAUUAUUAGUCUAGCAAUAAUAAUUUGUGAACUCGGUCAGAUCCGGAAGGAAGCAGCCGUAACAAAUGAUUUAUGUGUUAUGAUAUAGUAAAUAGA
rnacentral:SRP_RNA from 1 species